rnacentral:rRNA from 1 species
GACGAACGCUGGCGGCGUGCUUAACACAUGCAAGUCGAACGGAAAGGCCCUGCUUUUGUGGUGUGCUCGAGUGGCGAACGGGUGAGUAACACGUGAGUAACCUGCCCUUGACUUUGGGAUAACUUCAGGAAACUGGGGCUAAUACCGGAUAGGAGCUCCUGCUGCAUGGUGGGGGUUGGAAAGUUUCGGCGGUUGGGGAUGGACUCGCGGCUUAUCAGCUUGUUGGUGGGGUAGUGGCUUACCAAGGCUUUGACGGGUAGCCGGCCUGAGAGGGUGACCGGCGACAUUGGGACUAAGGGAGGGACCAGAGUCAUAUGGGGGGCAGCAGGGGAGAAUAUUGCGCAAUGGGCGGAAGCCUGAUGCAGCAACGCCGGGGGCGGAAUGACGGCCUUCGGGUUGAGAACCGAUUGAGCCUGAGACGAAGCGUGAGUGACGGUAAUGGGUAAAGAAGCACCGGCUAACUACGUG